rnacentral:ncRNA from 1 species
UCUCCGAAAGGGCAAACCCAGAGAGAUCUGGGGACGCAAAGCCACGGAUCCUUAUUCCAGGAUAGCCGGGUUGCUGAA